UCUGUCCAUAGAGGCUCUGCAAGUAUGGUUGCUGUGUUACAUGUGUGUCAGUAAGUGGUCAAGAUGGAGAGGGACUAUGUUGAUGCUCAGCAUUCUGACCUGUGAAUAUCUGAAUGACCAGUAGCUUAACACU
ensembl:snoRNA Gm24170 predicted gene, 24170